GCGGUCGAUAAGGUCGAUAUCUAGAUCAGAAAUCUUUGUAUAUAUCUUUCUACAAUAUUAUUUAUCUUAUUUUAAUAACUAUGCCCAACAGCAAGGUUUAUAUACGCGUAAAGUGUAAUCUACAAUGUACAUCGUGUUUCACAAAUAUCUUGAAAGAAAUUCGAGAAUGAAUCGCGAUUAGUCGUCGUGCGAGACAUGACGUGACGUCACACGUCGGCCACUGUGGUCUCUCUCGACUCGCGUCGCUCCUCUUCUCGCGCCAUCUUUCUUUCCAAACUACCGCUGCGCCGCGUCGGUUGGCUGCUUCCGUGCUCCGUUCUUUUCGCCUUUUUCAAGUGCAAGUUGCGCUUAGAUACGAUGGCGAAUACAUUGUAGUAGCGGGUAAUCGUCUUAAGACAAAAGUCGCCGUCUACAUACGUUGUAAUGCGAUAGAAAUAAUUGCAAGUGUACAAUAUUAGCGUCUGCUGCGUCGCGACAAGUUUAACUCGCGCGGUUUGCCUUUUAUUCGCGCUCGCGUGCAAUAUUCGCGGGAAUAUUAAAAUCAGGAGUGCCAAAUAGAAUAUUGGACGAUGUCAUUGAUGUACAACAUACGGCUCGUGAACAGUAGAACGAGAUGUCGACAGAGUUUCAGGGAGAAGAAGCGCGGCAUGGCUAAGCGCGGCUAGGCGCGGUGUCCUUGUGUAGCAGCUCGGCCUCUUCGGAAUGCGAGCCCUGAGAACUACGUUUCUUCUUGUGAUUGUUGUGAUGAUGGUAGCUGUGAGGUUGGUAAUGGUGGUGGUGGUGCUCCCGAUGCUGCAUCAGAGCGUCUGUCUCCGGCUGGCUUUGAUGACCUACCAGAAGGUCCAGGGUGCCUUUAGGUACGGCAGGCGCCUGUUCACUCGUCGCUGGUGGAAUUGGCGUCGCGACUGGCGACUCGACCGGAAGCGGGAUGCAAUGUAACACGUAACAUCUCACGCCCGCCAAGAUAAAGCCUGAAAUAAUAACAAUGAUAAUUAGAGUCGCAUCAUAUACACGUGUCUCAAUGAAGCGCAGAGUCGCGGAGACGAUGAGACGAUUCGAGUCGAGUGGUGACAAGCACGCACGCGUCAUCACCGAUGCGCCGCGCCGCGCCGAUCGAUCGAGCACGUUUAUAAUCCUUUAUUUGACGUUUUGCAAUCGGUUGGUACAAUUAACCGGCGCCUCGAUAGAGUCGAUAGUUUUCCAAAAGAGAAAUCAAUUUGGCAAAAUUUGUCUUUUCUCUUCAGAUGAACAAGCUCUCUCUCUCUCUCUCUCUUUCUAUUUCUUUUUCACACCUCAGGAUCUCAACUUUUAGCACAGUUUAUCUUUUCUCAUUCUCUCUCUCUCUCUCUCUCUCUCUCUCUCUGAUUGAGUGAGUAAAAAGAAAGAAGAGGAAAGAUGAAAGCCAGAAAUUCAGUUCUGGGGUGUGCAGAAGGAACAAGCUUAUAUUGAUUUAUUAUUUAUUAGACGUAUUAUCGCAAUCGUACAUGCAUAAAUAACUAAACGAUUUAAUUUCUCGAUUAUUAUUGAUAAAUAUAUGCUUUUACAGCUUGACGAACUUAUCGAUGAGCUAGAUUUAAUUCCUUCUCCAAUUUACGACAUGGAACGCGCCAUUAUAAUUAUAACGCCGUUAAAAAGUUUUUCGCUUGGUCUGUAAGAAUAGGUAUUACAUACGGUGCAUAACAUUAAGAUAAAAAGAAGGCUUUUCCAUAUCUAAGAAAGCUCACCCAGUAAAAGUAGGAUAGCGCCUGCCACAAGUAACGCCAACCUGUGGUUGGUGGUCGUUGCACCCGGGACAAGUUGGACGAGACCGACCACGAGCACCACCGCGCCCAACAACAGGCACACCACCACGGCGUGCAGCCCGGAUAUCUGCAGGUAACGAUCUUUGUCAAGCGACAAACGUGCUUACUUUUGCUACCGUUUCCCGGCGGGAUUAUUACACACACACACACACACACACACACACACACACACACACACUCCA